rnacentral:rRNA from 1 species
GCCCAGACUCCUACGGGAGGCAGCAGUGGGGAAUAUUGCACAAUGGGGGAAACCCUGAUGCAGCGACGCCGCGUGAGCGAAGAAGUACCUCGGUAUGUAAAGCUCUAUCAGCAGGGAAGAAGAUGACGGUACCUGACCAAGAAGCUCCGGCUAAAUACGUGCCAGCAGCCGCGGUAAUACGUAUGGAGCAAGCGUUAUCCGGAUUUACUGGGUGUAAAGGGAGCGUAGACGGCAUGGCAAGUCUGAUGUGAAAACCCGGGGCUCAACCCCGGGACUGCAUUGGAAACUGUCAGGCUAGAGUGUCGGAGAGGCAAGUGGAAUUCCUAGUGUAGCGGUGAAAUGCGUAGAUAUUAGGAGGAACACCAGUGGCGAAGGCGGCUUGCUGGACGAUGACUGACGUUGAGGCUCGAAAGCGUGGGGAGCAAACAGGAUUAGAUACCCCAGUA